rnacentral:rRNA from 1 species
AGUGAACGCUGGCGGUAGGCCUAACACAUGCCAGUCGAACGGCAGCACAGUAAGAGCUUGCUCUUACGGGUGGCGAGUGGCGGACGGGUGAGGAAUACAUCGGAAUCUACUUUUUCGUGGGGGAUAACGUAGGGAAACUUACGCUAAUACCGCAUACGACCUACGGGUGAAAGCAGGGGAUCUUCGGACCUUGCGCGAUUGAAUGAGCCGAUGUCGGAUUAGCUAGUUGGCGGGGUAAAGGCCCACCAAGGCGACGAUCCGUAGCUGGUCUGAGAGGAUGAUCAGCCACACUGGAACUGAGACACGGUCCAGACUCCUAAGGGAGGCAGCAGUGGGGAAUAUUGGACAAGGGGCGCAAGCCUGAUCCAGCCAUACCGCGUGGGGGAAGAAGGCCUUCGGGUUGUAAAGCCCUUUUGUUGGGAAAGAAAAGCAGCAGGUUAAUACCCCGCUGUUCUGACGGUACCCAAAGAAUAAGCACCGGCUAACUUCGUG